UACACUUCUCCCUCUUUUUUCACUUUCGAUGGAAGAAAGAUGGAAAAGUCCAUUUGGUAACCAAAGUCAUCUGAUAUCAGAAACAAUAUCAACACUACAGAUUGCUUCAAAGAUCGCAAAUCAAACAAGAUUAAAUUACGGAGGAGUUAUGAUACAAUCCACACGAGUGCUACAGUACAUCAACAAUACAACAUUCCCUGCUUUAAAGGCAGACUUUACAUAUAUGAAUAUUUCACACGUCAUCCAAAAUGUCACGUGGUUGCACUUGGAGUCUUAUACUAAGUUAUCGUCUGCAGUGAUUUUUCUGGAACAAUUAGUUCAUGACGAGACAGUUUUAAGUAAACAGGAAGAAAUGGUUUUCAUUACAGAGUUUACUAAAGUUGAAGAACAAAUAUACAAAGUUCUUCGUAAAAUACAAUUAGCUGUUAAUCAGCUCGGCAAAGUAAUUCAGACGUAUCAGUCACGUGAUAUUAUGCCAUAUUAUUUGCGUCAUCUUUGUAAUAAUACAAAUUACAUGCACCAUAGAAAUUAUAUAACUGUUAAUAACAUUUGGAUUUUAAUUCAGAGAAUUCAAAUUGUUUAUGAAGAGGUUCGACAACUGUUAUAACGAAUUGUCAUAGAUGAGGGUCUGGAUGGGAGACCUUAAUUAUUUCUGUAUUCUUUAAAUUUUAUGUCAUUUUUCUCUAUUCUUUAUUUUUUAACAAUUAUUCUCUAUUACUUAUAUUUUAACACCCCAUUAUUUUCUAUUCGAUAUAUUUUUUGCCUAUUUUUCUCUAUUCAUUAUUUUCCUGGAUCAUUUUUCUGUAGUAUUAGUCCAUUAUUUUCUAUUCUGUAAACCCCAAUCCAGACCUUCAUAGGAAGGGAUGAUCUAAUUAUCAUUAUUAAUCUGAUAACAUUAUUUAAAUCUGAAUAUUAUGCGUAAACUAUAUUAAUCAGAUCACGUUUUUUUUUCAUUUCGUGUGUCCAUAAACUAUUCUAAUUUGUUAAUUUAAAAAAAAAAAUCUUGUAAAGGAGCACAUAUGAUAAGAUCUAUUUAUUGGAUUCUUAAAUUUCAGUAAUAAUAACAUUCUUCAAUUCUUUGUAAAUUAUGUUAAUUUCAUUCGAACAAUAAAUGCAUACGAGGAAAUAACCUGAUCACAUAAAAUUAUUGAACUGCCAUUUGUUACUGUGACUUCAUAAACGUAUGCACGUCAUCACUGGCAUAUUGGACGAUUUUUUUUUCUAUUUUCCCUAUAUAUUUUUGAUACAAUUGAAUACGAGUAACAUCCUUAUUCAUCAUCUGUAUGUGUAUAAGGCAUCGUUUAGCAAAUCACCCUUGGUGGUCUCGUGGUAGUGUGUUCGCCUCGAGUGCGGGAGGUCGUGGGUUCGAACACCGGCCAGGUCAAACCAAAGACUUUAAAAUUGUUAUUUACUGCUUCUCCGCUUAGCACGCGGCAUUAAGGAGUAAGAGCAAAGACUGGUCGGCUCGGAGUUAAAAUAAUGUGUCCGGUAAGAUGAAAUGUCUUCCUGUGGACUGUUACCGUGUGAACUAGCACGUUAAUAAUCCGGCUCAGUGUGUCUGUCUACUACAAAGCAGGGUUUAUAUUUAUAUUAUGGAACGCCAAAACUGUCUUGUUAUGACUAUUUUCAUUAUAUGAUGUGCAUUUACCUUUAUAUGAUGUGCACUUGUCAUUAUAUGAUGUGCAAACACCUGUAUAUGAUGUGCAAAUAUCGUUAUGUUAUGAGCAAGUAACCUUACAUGUAUAUGAUGUCCAAACAUCCUUAUAUGAUGUGCAAAUAUACUUAUAUGAUGUGCAUAUAUACUUAUAUGAUGUGCAAAUGUACUUAUGUGAUGUGCAAACGUUCUUAUAUGAUGUGCAAACAUUCUUAUAUGAUUUGUAAAUACCCUUAUAUGAUGUGCAAAUGUACUUAUUAAUGUGCAAAUGUAUUUAAAUGAUGUGCAAAGAUCCUUAUAUGAUGUGCAAAUAUACUUAUAGUAUGUGCAAAUAUCCUAAUAUGAUGUGCAUUUUCCCUUAUAUUAUGUACAAACAUCUUUAUAUGAUGUGGUUGUGUCAUUAUAUUAUGUGCAUGUAACCUUAUGUGA